GACGAACCGUGCGAACGUUGUUCGGAAUCACCGGGCUUAAAGGGCGCGUAGGCGGCUUGCCAAGUCGGGGGUGAAAUCCGGCAGCUUAACUGUCGAAGUGCCUUCGAUACUGGCAAGCUCGAGGGAGGUAGGGGUCUGUGGAACUUCUGGUGGAGCGGUGAAAUGCGUUGAUAUCAGAAGGAACGCCGGUGGCGAAAGCGACGGACUGGACCUCUUCUGACGCUGAGGCGCGAAAGCUAGGGGAGCAAACGGG
rnacentral:rRNA from 1 species